UUUUAUGGAAGAGUAUGUGGUUGAAAAUAGGAGAGAGAAAAUUAUAAUGUAAUUUAAUGAGAUUCAAACAUGGGCUAAAAUUAUGUUCCUCUCUCUUUAUUUAUUAUUUGAAAAUUCAUGCGCAGAAGAUGAUUGGAUGGCACAAUUAGUUAUUUUACAUGUACGUAAUGGUAUGUAGUUCCUUAAGAAGCAUACAAGUGAGGAUGUUUUUCGUACAAUGUUGAGAUGAAAGAGUCAGAAUCUUAUUUAAUUAGCCACCAUUAUUAAAGUAAAGAUGAAACAUGUUGUACUUGUUGGUGUUGAAAUAUCUUGACCAAGUGUAGAUGGUAAUUCAAUAUUAACCCU
rnacentral:lncRNA from 1 species